rnacentral:rRNA from 1 species
AUUGAACGCUGGCGGCAUGCCUUACACAUGCAAGUCGAACGGUAACGGGCCUUCGGGUGUCGACGAGUGGCGAACGGGCGAGUAAUACAUCGGAACGUGCCCGAUCGUGGGGGGUAACGAGGCGAAAGCUUUGCUAAUCCCGCAUACGAUCUACGGAUGAAAGCCGGGGACCGCAAGGCCUUGCGCGGACGGAGCGGCAGAUGGCAGAUUAGGUAGCUGGUGGGAUAAAUGCUUACCAAGGCGACGAUCUGUAGCUGGUCUGAGAGGAUGAUCAGCCACACUGGGACGAAGACACGGCCCAGACGCCUACGGAAGGCAGCAGUGGGGAAUUGUGGACAAGGGGCGCAAGCCUGAGCCAGCCAUGCCGCGUGCAGGAUGAAGGCCUUCGGGUUGUAAACGGCUUUUGUACGGAACGAAAAGCCUUCUUUUAAUACAGGGGGGUCAUGACGGUACCGGAAGAAUAAGCACCGGCUAACUACGUG